UACGUAGGUGGCAAGCGUUGUCCGGAUUUACUGGGCGUAAAGCGCACGCAGGCGGGCCUUUAAGUAGGAAGUGAAAGGUUGGAGCUCAACUCUAACACUGCUCCCUAUACUGGAGGCCUUGAGUUUCGGAGAGGAAGACGGAACUGCAGGUGUAGCGGUGAAAUGCGUUGAUAUCUGCAGGAACACCAAUGGCGAAAGCAGUCUUCUGGACGAAUACUGACGCUCAGGUUCGAAAGCCAAGGUAGCAAACAGG
rnacentral:rRNA from 1 species